UUUUGAUUCGAUUUGCAACAAUUUAUCCUCAAAUUCAGUUCCAGUCAACCCACAUACCCCCUCCCCUAAGUCGUUCGGUGUCCGGUCCGUAAUUCGCCCGUAUUGCGCAUUUCCGUAAUUUGAAUUGGUUUCCAUUAUUCAUUGUUCAUUGCAACGUGUGGAACGCCAGGCAUUUCUCAUGGCAUAAGUUUCGGUUUUCAGUUUCGGGACCACGCAUACGGAUGAAUGAUCGAAAGUAAAAUCCUUCUUAGACCGUUAUAUGCGCUGGAACAUACGUAAAAAGCCUACGAUUGCGCGUCGUGAGCAUCUCUGUUCUGCUCUGACGAUCGUGCAGUCACGCGCACAUCUCUAAUUGGAUGCCAAAGAGAGACAGAAACAGAGCGAGAGAGAGAUCUAAACAGCUAAUCAAUGGAGAGAAAUGAAGCCUCUCUACCAGUAUACAAGUGUUUAUAUGCAAUGCCUAUACAAGUAUAUGGUUUAAGUAUACAUGUAUAGAUUUUGUGGUUACAUAAACAAUGCCAAACGUUUGCCAAACGUCAGUGGCAGUUACAGAUUACAGAUUAGGCCUUGAUCAAGGGCGGAUGGAGGCCCUGGCCUGCCCUGCCCGUGCACAGAGGAUAAAAAACGGAAAAAAAGAGAAGAUGAUCGUGCUUGGCCUUGUUUCACUGCCUGGUGGAGUCACAAUAUUUGCGCAUCAAUUACGGACACUAUUUGUUCCUCGUGAAUGACGAUGGGGGGCUUAUGGAGCAAAAGCGCCCAUGAUAAAACGAACCACUGCACCCACCACUCGGCUGGGACCAAGGUCAAGAUGCACGCGUCCUUGGCGACCAGGAGAGCUGUCCCCAGUGUCUUUCAUGUUCUUUUCUGAAAUUGCUCGUUUGCUUUUGCUUAAAGUUGUUUUCAAUUCGGAA